rnacentral:rRNA from 1 species
CGUGUAGGCGGCUUGGUAAGUCAGGUGUGAAAGCCCUGGGCUCAACCCAGGAAGUGCACUUGAAACUGCCUUGCUUGAGUACGGGAGAGGAAAGCGGAAUUCCUGGUGUAGAGGUGAAAUUCGUAGAUAUCAGGAGGAACACCGGUGGCGAAGGCGGCUUUCUGGCCCAAUACUGACGCUGAGACGCGAAAGCGUGGGGAGCAAACAG